AUUGAACGCUGGCGGCAGGCCUAACACAUGCAAGUCGAACGGUAACAGGAAACAGCUUGCUGUUUCGCUGACGAGUGGCGGACGGGUGAGUAAUGUCUGGGAAACUGCCUGAUGGAGGGGGAUAACUACUGGAAACGGUAGCUAAUACCGCAUAACGUCGCAAGACCAAAGAGGGGGACCCUCGGGCCUCUUGCCAUCGGAUGUGCCCAGAUGGGAUUAGCUUGUUGGUGGGGUAACGGCUCACCAAGGCGACGAUCCCUAGCUGGUCUGAGAGGAUGACCAGCCACACUGGAACUGAGACACGGUCCAGACUCCUACGGGAGGCAGCAGUGGGGAAUAUUGCACAAUGGGCGCAAGCCUGAUGCAGCCAUGCCGCGUGUAUGAAGAAGGCCUUCGGGUUGUAAAGUACUUUCAGCGGGGAGGAAGGGAGUAAAGUUAAUACCUUUGCUCAUUGACGUUACCCGAAGAAGAAGCACCGGCUAACUCCGUG
rnacentral:rRNA from 1 species